rnacentral:rRNA from 1 species
UAACGUAGACGAAAGUUACGCUAAAUACCCGCAUACGAUCUACGGAUGAAGCGGGGGACUCGCAAGAGCCUCGCGCGAUUGGAGCGGCCGAUAUCAGAUUAGGUAGUUGGUGGGGUAAAGGCUCACCAAGCCAACGAUCUGUAGCUGGUCUGAGAGGACGACCAGCCACACUGGAACUGAGACACGGUCCAGACUCCUACGGGAGGCAGCAGGUGGGGAAUUUGGACAAUGGACGCAAGUCUGAUCCAGCCAUUCCGCGUGCAGGAUGAAGGCCCUCGGGUUGUAAACUGCUUUUGUACCGGAACGAAAGGUCUCUAUUAAUACUAGGGGCUCAUGACGGUACCGUAAGAAUAAGCACCGGCUAACUACGUG